rnacentral:rRNA from 1 species
AUUGAACGCUGGCGGCAGGCCUAACACAUGCAAGUCGAGCGAGCGGCGGACGGGUGAGUAAUGUAUGGGGAUGGGCCCGGGAGAGGGGGAUAACUACCGGAAACGGUGGCUAAUACCGCAUACUAUCGGAUGAACCCAUAUGGGAUGAUCUAGUGGGUGGGGUAAAGGAAUACCUGGGCGACGAUCCGUAGCUGGUCUGAGAGGAUGACCAGCCACACUGGAACUGAGACACGGGCCAGACUCCUACGGGAGGCAGCAGUGGGGAAUAUUGCACAAUGGGCGAAAGCCUGAUGCAGCCAUGCCGCGUGUGUGAAGAAGGCCUUCGGGUUGUAAAGCACUUUCAGCGAGGAUGCGUUACUCGCAGAAGAAGCACCGGCUAACUCCGUGCCAGCAGCCGCGGUAAUAC